UUGACCUCGGAUCAGGCAGGGAUACCCGCUGAACUUAAGCAUAUCAAUAAGCGGAGGAAAAGAAACCAACAGGGAUUGCCUCAGUAACGGCGAGUGAAGCGGCAACAGCUCAAAUUUGAAAUCUGGCUCUUUCAGGGUCCGAGUUGUAAUUUGUAGAGGAUGCUUCGGCGUGGGCUCCGGUCUAAGUUCCUUGGAACAGGACGUCAUAGAGGGUGAGAAUCCCGUAUGUGAUCAGCUGCCUUUGCCAUGUGAAGCUCCUUCGACGAGUCGAGUUGUUUGGGAAUGCAGCUCUAAAUGGGAUGUAAAUUUCUUCUAAAGCUAAAUACUGGCCAGAGACCGAUAGCGCACCAGUAGAGUGAUCGAAAGAUGAAAAGCACCUUGGAAAAGAGAGUCCAAAAAGUACGUGAAANUUGUUGAAA
rnacentral:rRNA from 1 species